rnacentral:rRNA from 1 species
AGUGAACGCUGGCGGUAGGCCUAACACAUGCAAGUCGAACGGCAGCACAGUAAGAGCUUGCUCUUACGGGUGGCGAGUGGCGGACGGGUGAGGAAUACAUCGGAAUCUACUUUUUCGGGGGGGAUAACGUAGGGAAACUUACGCUAAUACCGCAUACGACCUACGGGUGAAAGCAGGGGAUCUUCGGACCUUGCGCGACUGAAUGAGCCGUUGUCGGAUUAGCUAGUUGGCGGGGUAAAGGCCCACCAAGGCAACGAUCCGUAGCUGGUCUGAGAGGAUGAUCAGCCACACUGGAACUGAGACACGGUCCAGACUCCUACGGGAGGCAGCAGUGGGGAAUAUUGGACAAUGGGCGCAAGCCUGAUCCAGCCAUACCGCGUGGGUGAAGAAGGCCUUCGGGUUGUAAAGCCCUUUUGUUGGGAAAGAAAAGCAGCAGGUUAAUACCCCGCUGUUCUGACGGUACCCAAAGAAUAAGCACCGGCUAACUUCGUG